GACGAACGCUGGCGGCGUGCCUAAUACAUGCAAGUAGAACGCUGAAGGAGGAGCUUGCUUCUCUGGAUGAGUUGCGAACCGGUGAGUAACGCGUAGGUAACCUGCCUGGUAGCGGGGGAUAACUAUUGGAAACGAUAGCUAAUACCGCAUAAUAGCAGUUAUUGCAUGAUAACUGUUUGAAAGGUGCAAUUGCACCACUACCAGAUGGACCUGCGUUGUAUUAGCUAGUUGGUGGGGUAACGGCUCACCAAGGCGACGAUACAUAGCCGACCUGAGAGGGUGAUCGGCCACACUGGGACUGAGACACGGCCCAGACUCCUACGGGAGGCAGCAGUAGGGAAUCUUCGGCAAUGGACGGAAGUCUGACCGAGCAACGCCGCGUGAGUGAAGAAGGUUUUCGGAUCGUAAAGCUCUGUUGUAAGAGAAGAACGAGUGUGAGAGUGGAAAGUUCACACUGUGACGGUAUCUUACCAGAAAGGGACGGCUAACUACGUG
rnacentral:rRNA from 1 species